rnacentral:rRNA from 1 species
CACCAGACUCCUACGGGAGGCAGCAGUGGGGAAUAUUGCACAAUGGGGGAAACCCUGAUGCAGCGACGCCGCGUGAGUGAAGAAGUAUUUCGGUAUGUAAAGCUCUAUCAGCAGGGAAGAUAAUGACGGUACCUGAGUAAGAAGCCCCGGCUAACUACGUGCCAGCAGCCGCGGUAAUACGUAGGGGGCAAGCGUUAUCCGGAUUUACUGGGUGUAAAGGGAGCGUAGACGGCAUGGCAAGUCUGAAGUGAAAGCCCGGGGCUCAACCGCGGGACUGCUUUGGAAACUGUUAAGCUGGAGUGCAGGAGAGGUAAGUGGAAUUCCUAGUGUAGCGGUGAAAUGCGUAGAUAUUAGGAGGAACACCGGUGGCGAAGGCGGCUUACUGGACCAUAACUGACGUUGAGGCUCGAAAGCGUGGGGAGCGAACAGGAUUAGAUACCCUGGUA